rnacentral:rRNA from 1 species
AUUGAACGCUGGCGGCAGGCCUAACACAUGCAAGUCGAACGAGUGGCGGACGGGUGAGUAAUGUCUGGGUAACUCCCUUAUGGAGGGGGAUAACUCCUGGAAACGGUAGCUAAUACCUCAUACCAUCAGAUGUGCCCAGAUGGGAUUAGCUAGUUGGUGGGGUAACGGGUCACCAAGGCCACGAUCCCUAGCUGGUCUGAGAGGAUGACCAGACACACUGGAACUAGAACACGGUCCAGACUGCAACGGAGGGCGGCGGUGGGGAAUAUGGAACAAUGGGGACAGACCGAAUGCAGCAAUGCCGGGUGUAUAAGGAAGGCCUUCGGGUUGAAAAGAACUUUCAGCGGGGAGGCGUUACCCGCAGAAGAAGCACAGGCAAACUCCGUGCCAGCAGCCGCGGUAAUAC